rnacentral:rRNA from 1 species
UACGGGGGGGGCAAGCGUUGUUCGGAAUUACUGGGCGUAAAGGGCUCGUAGGCGGCCAACUAAGUCCGACGUGAAAUCCCCAGGCUUAACCUGGGAACUGCGUCGGAUACUGGAUGGCUUGAAUUCGGGAGAGGGAUGCAGAAUUCCAGGUGUAGCGGUGAAAUGCGUAGAUAUCUGGAGGAACACCGGUGGCGAAGGCGGCAUCCUGGACCGAUACUGACGCUGAGGAGCGAAAGCCAGGGGAGCAAACAGG